rnacentral:rRNA from 1 species
UACAUGGGGUGCAAACGUUGCUCGGAAUUAUUGGGCGUAAAGCGCACGUAGGUGGUCCCUUAAGUCGGAUGUGAAAGCCCUCGGCUCAACUGAGGAAGUGCAUCCGAAACUGAGGGGCUAGAGUAUGGUAGAGGGUCGCGGAAUUCCCGGUGUAGAGGUGAAAUUCGUAGAUAUCAGGAGGAACACCGGUGGCGAAGGCGGGUCUCUGGGCCGAUAACUGACGCUGAGGCACGGAAAGCGUGGGGAGCAAACAGG